GUUGCUUGUCCAUAUAUCUUUGGACUAAUUUGCCAAAUCUUUGCAGGUUUGAUGGUGUGGUGCAUAGACGGACAACAACGGGUAUAAGGACAUUUUUAGUUGCUUGAAAAGUAGUUCCUUCAAAUGAAAAAAAAAACAACCUAAUUGACCCAAACUGAAUAACAAAAGCGACUUGCAUCAUUCAAGAAAAAUGUUGAGUCCAGCUGUGUGAGGAGGGUUACACUGACCUCCAGGUCCUGUGGCAGAUAGUUGAACAGAAUGACCUCCAGCAGCAGCUCCUCUCCUCGGAUAACGUAGGCCGGAAGAUUCAAAGAAAGGAAGAAAUCCUGGAACACUGUGAGCUGCAGGAGGGUAUCAUGGAAACCUCAGACUCUCUACGAUGCCCAGGCCCAGGUUCUCAGAUAAGACGAAGGCGGUGGCCGUCCAGGUUGUGAUGCUGUCAGGAUCCCUACCAGAGAGGCAGGUUCCGCCACAGCGACCUCUAGAGUCACAUUGUUACCUGGUCUCACCAUAGCGUUGCUCCAGCUCAGAGAAACCUGCCAAUCACAGGCUGUAGACGAUGAUGCAGGCCAGAGGAGCCCAAGUGAUGUCUGGGACCAGAGUUAGAACUCCAGAGCCUUUCCCAGCAGAAACCACCUGACCUCUGGACUUCACCUUCACAUAGAAAACAGAUGUCUGGAGGGUUUCUGAAUCUGCAGGUAGGAGUCACUGGGGGAUGUGUAGCUUCUAUAGAGCUGUAGAGUGCUAUAGCUGUCCCGAAAAGAAGCCUGGAAACAAGCAAC